rnacentral:lncRNA from 1 species
CCUCGUCCUUGCUGUGGUUGUGUCUGGGGCAACUGCGCUUGUUGUUGGAGCAACUGCUGUUGCACCUGCUGUUGCAUCUGCAUAAGGCCCACUAUGGUCUGCAUAACCUGGCCUAGGCCCGGUUCUUGUUGUCAUGUCUGAGUAUCACUAGCAGGAUUGACGACUCUCUCCUGCUGAGGGGUGUUACCAACUUGUUGGGGUAUGCUGUCAUUUUGCGGGUUGGGUGCCUUAUUAGUAGCUCUUUGAGCAGUCUUUCUCAUCCGAUGUGGAGGCAUCCUGACCUAUGUCUAUCAGAUAGCAGCAUGCCAAUAAUAAGCUUGCCAGUUCAUUACAAGUACAUAGAAUGGUUGCUACAAUCAUCAUAAAUUAACGUCCCAAUGUCCCUAGAGUCUACCCACCUACACUCAUGUCAUGUCAUAUUUUCUUAUCUCAUAAUUUAUCCAAUUAUGCUCUGAUACCAUAAAAGUUGUCAUGCCCCUGGCCCGAGAUCGCGAGCCGGGGAUCCGCGCCAACCGCCGCACACCCGUAAGAAACUCUCCCUACGAGCAUGCAAGGCAUUUAAACCAAACAUCUCAAAUAUAUAACUAAAAUAAUUCAGCUGAAAUAAAUGCAAUCUUAUUCCAUUGACUGACAUAAAUUAUAAAGUUUCACAGUUCUCAAUGCGCAGCGGAACAAUAAAGAUAGAACAUUAAUUUAAACAAAACCUAAUCUAAGAUAACUUGUGUCAUAAUUUUUUUAUUCGCUCUUCCAUAUUGCAAAACCUCGGAUCGAGCUAAUUCUUCGGAUCUGUAAAAACAGUAAGAAAUCGUAUAAUGAGCUAGACAGCCCAGUAAGUAACAAACACCUUAACUAGUCAAUUCAUAUAAUAACAUAAAAUAUGAAUACAAAUUACAAUGAGUCAGCAUAAUAACAUAAUCAAUUCAUUUUCAAAUACAAAUUCAUUAAAAUCCGUAUCUUUCAAAUAUCCAUAUACAUAAUCGUAAAUCCGAUACGAAACAAAUCACAUUCAUCUCAACAGCCUUUAACUACGACCACACUUAUACCCUGUGGCUGGGCCAGAAACAGAACCGCACUUAUACCCUGCGGAGUGGGCCAGAAUACCGCACUUAUACCCUGCGGAGUGGGCCAGAAUACCACACUUAUACCCUGUGGUGGGGCCAGAAAUUACCAAUGCAUAACUGUUAGAACCCGCCCAUGCCGCUGAUAUUUCAAAACAAAAUCAAAUGGCAGCGGAAGGGGCAUGUGCGGGAUUGACGUUCAUCGCAUGAACAUCGUUUGAUAACCAUUCGUAGUUAGGUAAGGAUUAAAAACUUUUAAUAACUUUAGGAAGAUCAGAUCUUCACCUUGUGCGGGUAGAUGGUCACUGCAAACUGA